GGUUAAGUUAUUAAGGGCGCAUGGUGGAUGCCUUGGCACUAGGAGCCGAUGAAGGACGGGACUAACACCGAUAUGCUUCGGGGAGCUGUAAGUAAGCUUUGAUCCGGAGAUUUCCGAAUGGGGAAACCCAGCUUGUGUAUGCAAGUUAUCAUCUAGUGAAUAUAUAGCUAGAUUGAAGGUAGACGUUGUGAACUGAAACAUCUCAUUAGCAACAGGAAGAGAAAGAAAAAUCGAUUCCGAUAGUAGCGGCGAGCGAACUCGGAAGAGCCCAAACCAAUGUGCUUGCACAUUGGGGUUGUAGGACUGCCGUUGUGGAGUUACAAAAUUGUUUAUUAGCAGAAUCAGCUGGGAAGCUGAGCGAGACAGGGUGAUAGCCCCGUAUGCGAAAGUAAGCAAUCUCCCGUGCAGGAUCCUGAGUACGGCCGGACACGUGAAAUCCGGUCGGAAUCUGCGAGGACCAUCUCGCAAGGCUAAAUACUCCCUAGUGACCGAUAGUGAACCAGUACCGUGAGGGAAAGGUGAAAAGCACCCCGGAAGGGGAGUGAAAAAGUUCCUGAAACCAUGUGCCUACAAGAAGUUAGAGCCCGUUAAUGGGUGAUAGCGUGCCUUUUGUAGAAUGAACCGGCGAGUUACGAUACCAUGCAAGGUUAAGGUGGAAAGACCGGAGCCGUAGCGAAAGCGAGUCUGAAAUGGGCGACUAAGUAUGUUGUUGUAGACCCGAAACCAGGUGACCUACCCAUGUCCAGGGUGAAGAUGCGGUAAAGCGCAUUGGAGGCCCGAACCCGUACGUGUUGAAAAACGUUGGGAUGAGGUGUGGGUAGCGGUGAAAUUCCAAUCGAACUUGGAGAUAGCUGGUUCUCUCCGAAAUAGCUUUAGGGCUAGCCUCGGAAUGAAGCGUGUUGGAGGUAGAGCACUGUUUUGGUGCGGGGCCCAUCUUGGGUUACCAAAUUAAGAUAAACUCCGAAUGCCAAUCACGUAUGUCCGGGAGUCAGACAGUGAGUGAUAAGAUCCAUUGUCGAAAGGGGAACAGCCCAGAUCGUCAGUUAAGGUCCCUAAGUGUGUGUUAAGUGGAAAAGGAUGUGAAGUUGCAUAGACAACUAGGAUGUUGGCUCAGAAGCAGCCACCAUUUAAAGAGUGCGUAAUAGCUCACUAGUCGAGUGAUUUUGCGCCGAAAAUGUACCGGGGCUAAACACACCACCGAAACUACGGGUGCCACGUAAGUGGCGCGAUAGGAGAGCGUUCUAUGGGCGAUGAAGUCAGACCGUGAGGACUGGUGGAGCGCAUAGAAGUGAGAAUGCCGGUAUGAGUAGCGAAAGACAGGUGAGAAUCCUGUCCACCGUAUGACUAAGGUUUCCUGGGGAAGGCUCGUCCUCCCAGGGUUAGUCGGGACCUAAGGCGAGGCCAAGAGGCGUAGUCGAUGGAUAACAGGUUGAGAUUCCUGUACCAGGUGAACAUGUUUGAAUGANNNNNNNNNNNNNNNNNNNNNNNNNNNNNNNNNNNNNNNNNNNNNNNNNNNNNNNNNNNNNNNNNNNNNNNNNNNNNNNNNNNNNNNNNNNNNNNAUGAUGGAGGGACGCAGAAGGCUAACAGAACCCAGCGGCUGGAAAUGCUGGGCUAAAUCAUAAGUCUUGAGUUGAGUAAAAUGCUUGACUCUACAAGGACAAGUGAUGAUAGGGACCGAAAUAAAGUAGGGAAGUCUGCCAUGUCACGCUGCCAAGAAAAGCUUCUAGUUAGUGUUUACCUGCCCGUACCGCAAACCAACACAGGUAGUCGAGGAGAGCAUCCUAAGGUGAGCGAGUGAACUCUCGUUAAGGAACUCGGCAAAAUGACCCCGUAACUUCGGGAGAAGGGGUGCUCAGCGCAAGCUGAGCCGCAGUGAAUAGGCCCAGGCGACUGUUUAUCAAAAACACAGGUUUCUGCAAAAUCGUAAGAUGACGUAUAGGGGCUGACGCCUGCCCGGUGCUGGAAGGUUAAAAGGAGUGCUUAGCGCAAGCGAAGGUAUGAAUUGAAGCCCCAGUAAACGGCGGCCGUAACUAUAACGGUCCUAAGGUAGCGAAAUUCCUUGUCGGGUAAGUUCCGACCCGCACGAAAGGCGUAACGAUCUGGGCACUGUCUCAACGAGAGACUCGGUGAAAUUUAAAGACCCGUGAAGAUGCGGGUUACCCGCGACAGGACGGAAAGACCCCAUGGAGCUUUACUGUAGCUUGAUAUUGAGUGUUUGUGCAGCUUGUACAGCAUAGGUAGGAGCCGUAGAAAUCGGGACGCUAGUUUCGAUGGAGGCACAGGUGGGAUACUACCCUCGUUGUAUGACCACUCUAACUCACACCACUAAGCGUGGUGGAAGACAGUGUCUGGCAGGCAGUUUGACUGGGGCGGUCGCCUCCUAAAAGGUAACGGAGGCGCCCAAAGGUUCUCUCAGAAUGGUUGGAAAUCAUUCGCAGAGUGUAAAGGCACAAGAGAGCUUGACUGUGAGACUGACUAGUCGAGCAGGUACGAAAGUAGGGCUUAGUGAUCCGGUGGUUCCGCAUGGAAGGGCCAUCGCUCAACGGAUAAAAGCUACCCUGGGGAUAACAGGCUUAUCUCCCCCAAGAGUCCACAUCGACGGGGAGGUUUGGCACCUCGAUGUCGGCUCAUCGCAUCCUGGGGCUGUAGUCGGUCCCAAGGGUUGGGCUGUUCGCCCAUUAAAGCGGUACGCGAGCUGGGUUCAGAACGUCGUGAGACAGUUCGGUCCCUAUCCGUCGCGGGCGUAGGAAAUUUGAGAGGAGUUGCCCUUAGUACGAGAGGACCGGGGUGAACGUACCUCUGGUGUAUCAGUUGUUCCGCCAGGAGCAUCGCUGAGUAGCUAUGUACGGAUGAGAUAAACGCUGAAAGCAUCUAAGUGUGAAACUCGCCUCGAGAUGAGAUUUCCCAUUCAAUUAUGAAGUAAGACCCCUUAAAGAUGAUAAGGUAGAUAGGCUAGAAGUGGAAGUACGGUGACGUAUGGAGCGGACUAGUACUAAUGGUUCGAGGACUUAACCAA
rnacentral:rRNA from 1 species